UACAGAGGGUGCAAGCGUUAAUCGGAAUUACUGGGCGUAAAGGGCAUGUAGGUGGGCGUACAAGUUUGAUGUGAAAUCCCUGGGCUUAACCUGGGAACGGCGUUGAAGACUGUAGGCCUAGAGUUUGAGAGAGGGUCGUGGAAUUUCCGGUGUAGCGGUGAAAUGCGUAGAUAUCGGAAAGAACACCAGUGGCGAAGGCGUCGGCCUGGCUCAAAACUGACACUGAGGUGCGAAAGCGUGGGGAGCAAACAG
rnacentral:rRNA from 1 species